rnacentral:rRNA from 1 species
UGGGGAAUUUUGGACAAUGGGGGCAACCCUGAUCCAGCGAUGCCGCGUGUGUGAAGAAGGCCUGAGGGUUGUAAAGCACUUUCGGUGGUGAAGAGGCAUGUAUAGGCGAAUAGAAUGUACAUGUGACGUUAGCCAAAGAAGAAGCACCGGCAAACCCUGUGCCAGCAGCCGCGGUAAUACAGGGGGUGCAAGCGUUAAUCGGAAUGACUGGGCGUAAAGGGCACGUAGGCGGUUAUUUAAGUUGGGUGUUAAAGACCAGGGCUUAACCUUGGAGAUGCAUUCAAGACUGGAUGGCUAGAAUAUAGGAGAGGCUGAUGGAAUUUCCGGUGUAGCGGUGAAAUGCGUAGAGAUCGGAAGGAACACCAGUGGCGAAGGCGAUUGGCUGGCCUAAUAUUGACGC